rnacentral:rRNA from 1 species
AGAGUUUGAUCCUGGCUCAGGAUGAACGCUAGCGGGAGGCUUAAUACAUGCAAGUCGAGGGGUAUGGUCGCAAGACCUUAGACCGGCGCACGGGUGAGUAACGCGUAUGCAACCUGCCGUUAAGAGGGGGAUAGCCCGGGGAAACUCGGAUUAAUACCCCAUAAUAUUGGGAUUCUGCAUGGGAUUUCAAUUAAAGCUGAGGUGCUUAGCGAUGGGCAUGCGUGACAUUAGCUAGUUGGUGGGGUAACGGCCCACCAAGGCUACGAUGUCUAAGGGUCGUGAGAGCGAGGCCCCUCACACGGGUACUGAGACACGGACCCGACUCCUACGGGAGGCAGCAGUAAGGAAUAUUGGUCAAUGGGCGGAAGCCUGAACCAGCCAUCCCGCGUGGAGGAAGACGGCCCUAUGGGUUGUAAACUGCUUUUGCACGGGAAGAAAUCUGGACAUUUAUGUGCAGUUGACGGUACCGUGAGAAUAAG